rnacentral:rRNA from 1 species
AACGAACGCUGGCGGCAUGCCUAACACAUGCAAGUCGAACGAGACCUUCGGGUCUAGUGGCGCACGGGUGCGUAACGCGUGGGAACCUGCCCUUAGGUUCGGAAUAACUCCCCGAAAGGGGUGCUAAUACCGGAUAAUGUCUUCGGACCAAAGAUUUAUCGCCUUUGGAUGGGCCCGCGUUGGAUUAGCUAGUCGGUAGGGUAAAAGCCUACCAAGGCGACGAUCCAUAGCUGGUCUGAGAGGAUGAUCAGCCACACUGGGACUGAGACACGGCCCAGACUCCUACGGGAGGCAGCAGUGGGGAAUAUUGGACAAUGGGCGAAAGCCUGAUCCAGCAAUGCCGCGUGAGUGAUGAAGGCCUUAGGGUUGUAAAGCUCUUUUACCCGGGAUGAUAAUGACAGUACCGGGAGAAUAAGCACCGGCUAACUCCGUG